ACGGGAGGCAUCAGUGGGGAAUAUUGCACAAUGGGGGAAACCCUGAUGCAGCAACGCCGCGUGAAGGAUGAAGGCCUUUGGGUCGUAAACUUCUGUUCUAACGGAAGAUAAUGACGGUACCCUAGGAGCAAGUCCCGGCUAACUACGUGCCAGCAGCCGCGGUAAUACGUAGGGGGCGAGCGUUAUCCGGAAUUAUUGGGCGUAAAGGGUGCGUAGGUGGUUUCCUAAGCAUGGGGUUUAAGGCAAUGGCUUAACCAUUGUUCGCCCCAUGAACUGGGUAACUUGAGUGCUGGAGAGGAAAGCGGAAUUCCUAGUGGAGCGGUGAAAUGCGUAGAUAUUAGGAGGAACACCAGUGGCGAAGGCGGCUUUCUGGACAGUAACUGACACUGAGGCACGAAAGUGUGGGGAGCAAACAGGAUUAGAUACCCUGGUA
rnacentral:rRNA from 1 species